rnacentral:lncRNA from 1 species
GGCAACUGUGCAAGCUAGCAGCAGUGAUGAAAAAGGGCAGGGGGUAGGGACUUCCACCACCUAUUAGCAGUUGGAGGAGGUGGUGAAGCAAAACUUCUUGAAGGAACUGUGUCUAGUAAUCCAUGGGCGACUCUACGAUGUUCCCCACUUUGAGGAUCCCCCUGGCAGAGAAAAGGUUCUGCUGGAACAAGCUGGUGCAGAUGCAACUGAAAGUUUUGUAGAUGUAGGCCACUCCUCUGAUGCCAGAGAAAUGCUAAAGCAGUACUAUAAUGGUGCUGUCCAUUUGAGUGACCUCAAACCUGAAAAUUGUGCAAGGAUUCUUCAAAAAAUGACACAUGCAAAAGUUUCUGGCCAUAUUGGAUUUUCCCUAUCAUAGGUGCUAUCCUCUUAGGUUACCUGUCUCACUCCUACAUAUUGGAAAGCAAAUCCUCCU